AAAUAGUUUUAUUUUUAUUAAAAAAUUUAAUUAAAUAAAAUUUUACAUAUAAAAAUUUUUGGAUAAAAUUAAUUUUAAAGAAAUUAAAUUAAUGAUAUAAAAAUUAAUAAAUAGUAGUAAUUAGUAUUAUUUUUUUAAUUUAAGUUAAAAUAUAGUUAUUAUUUUUUAUAUUGAUUAAAUUUGUGCCAGCAAUCGCGGUUACACAAAUAUUAUAAUUAAAUUUUUUUUAAUAAAAGUAAAAAAAAUUAUAAAUUUUUAAACUAAUAAUAAAUUUUUAGGUGAAAUUAAAAAUUUUAUUAAACUUUUGAAAUAUUUAAUUUUUUGAAUCUAAAAAAAUUUAACUAAAAACUAGGAUUAGAUACCCUAUUAUUUAAAAAGUAAAAAAUAAAAAAUUGAGGUAGUAAAAAUUAAAUUUUUAAAACUUAAAAAAUUUGGCGGUAUUUUAUUCUGUUUAGAGGAAUUUGUUCUAUAAUCGAUAAUCCACGAAUAUCUUACUUUUUUUUGUUUUCAGUUUAUAUAUCGUUGUCAUCAGAAUAUUUUAAAAGAAUAAAAAAUUUUCUAAAUUUUUAAUUAAAAAUUAUGUCAAAUCAAGGUAUAAUUAAUAAAAAAGAAGAAAUGAAUUACAAUAAAUAUUAUUUAUUAUGAAUAAAAUAAUUAAAAUUAAAUUAAAAGGUGGAUUUAAAAGUAAAUUAAUUAAUAAAGAUUAAUUGAUUAUGGUUUUAAAAUAUGCACAUAUCGCCCGUCGCUCUCGUUCUUUUUAAAUGAGAUAAGUCGUAACAUAGUAGAUAUAUUGGAAAAUGUAUCUAGAAAUAC
rnacentral:ncRNA from 1 species